rnacentral:rRNA from 1 species
AACAAACGCUGGCGGCGUGUCUUAAGCAUGCAAGUCGGGCGGCAAGGGCAGCAAUGCCCCUAGAGCGGCGGACUGGUGAGUAACGCGUGGGUGAUCUACCUUUAGGGCAUGGGGAUAGCCACUAGAAAUAGUGGGUAAUACCGAAUACGUUUGUGCGGGUGGGACCGCACAAAGAAAGGUGCUACGGCAUCGGCCUAAAGAUGAGCCUGCGUCCCAUUAGCUAGUUGGUGAGGUAAAGGCCCACCAAGGCGAUGAUGGGUAGCCGGCCUGAGAGGUCGACCGGCCACACUGGAACUGAGACACGGUCCAGACUCCUACGGGAGGCAGC